AUACGUAGGUGACAAGCGUUAUCCGGAUUUACUGGGCGUAAAGGGCGUGUAGGCGGUCUUGCAAGUCAGAAGUGAAAUUCCUGAGCUCAACUCGGGCGCUGCUUCUGAAACUGCAGGACUUGAGUGCUGGAGGGAAUAGCGGAAUUCCUAGUGGAGCGGUAAAAUGCGCAGAUAUUAGGAAGAACACCGGUGGCGAAGGCGGCUAUCUGGACAGUAACUGACGCUGAGGCUCGAAAGCGUGGGGAGCAAACAGGAUUAGAUACCCUGGUAGUCCACGCUGUAAACGAUGAUUACUAGGUGUGGGGGGACUGACCCCUUCCGUGCCGCGGUUAACACAAUAAGUAAUCCACCUGGGGAGUACGGCCGCAAGGUUGGAACUCAAAUGAAUUGACGGGG
rnacentral:rRNA from 1 species